UCCGUAGGUGGAUAAUUAAGUCAGAGGUGAAAUCCUGCAGCUCAACUGUAGAAUUGCCUUUGAAACUGGUUAUCUUGAGUUAUUAUGAAGUAGUUAGAAUAUGUAGUGUAGCGGUGAAAUGCAUAGAUAUUACAUAGAAUACCAAUUGCGAAGGCAGAUUACUAAUAAUAUACUGACACUGAUGGACGAAAGCGUGGGGAGCGAACAGGAUUAGAUACCCUGGUAGUC
rnacentral:rRNA from 1 species